rnacentral:rRNA from 1 species
UACGUAGGGGGCGAGCGUUGUCCGGAUUUAUUGGGCGUAAAGAGCGUGUAGGCGGCCAGGUAGGUCUGCUGUGAAAACUCGAGGCUCAACCUCGAGACGUCGGCGGAAACCAUCUGGCUAGAGUCCGGAAGAGGAGAGUGGAAUUCCUGGUGUAGCGGUGAAAUGCGUAGAUAUCGGGAGGAACACCAGUGGCGAAGGCGCUUCCUGGCCUGUUCUUGACGCU